rnacentral:misc_RNA from 1 species
AGUCGUAACAAGGUUUCCGUAGGUGAACCUGCGGAAGGAUCAUUAACGAAGAGUUGGUUGUUAGGGGUUGUUAGGUGGUAGAUUUGAUGUCUGGAUUUGGAAACAAUUGAUAUCCAGAUAAUAUCCGAAUAUCAAAUCUGGCUAUCAAAUCCAGACAUCAAAUCUAUACCAUAUCCCUUUUCCUAACAUAUCACAAGUGCUUUUAGUAUCGAAUAGAUACUAAUGCGCGAAACAAAAAAUAUAUAUGUAUAUAUGUGUAUCCGUGUGUGUAUAUAUAUGUAUCGUGUAUAUAUGUAUCAUCAUGUAUCCGUGUAUAUCUAUAUAUAUAUAUAUAUAUAAUCAUUAUUAUUAUCGUUAUCAUUAUCAAUACAAUUAACUAAACAAACAAACAACUUUUAACAAUGGAUCUCUAGGCUCUU